GGAUCGAGGUGGCUUCCACGAUGGCUUCCCGUCCCGGCACUAUCGUGACCUGGGUAGGAAACGCCGAUGUCUUCACCGUGGCCGUCAAAAGUCACCCCUUGGCCGGCACCUCCCUCAUCCCAGGUCCUCCAGAGGGGAUCGGCCAUCCUCUGGGUCAUCUCAAUCCCGCUCUGCGACCAAACACCCGGGGGUCAAAGAAGAGCCACAGCGCCCUGAUCCUCCCCAGCCACUUAUUUCCUGCAAAGAUGGCUCACAGAGCAGCGAGCAGAUGGAUCAGAGCCCACCGGUGGAGAGUGGGAAGGUCCCGGAGCCCCCCGGACCAGCCGCUGAUCCCGGGGCUGUGAGGGAGGCUGCGGAACCGGAGCAGGCAGCAGGAGUGACACUGGUCGAGCAGGGAACCGAGCAGAAACCCAUGGGCAGCCACAGCCAGAGUCCCUCUGCUUCAGAAAUGGAGCCAGCCUCACCAGAGGAGAGCUCUGCGGGGACAGAGGAGCACCCUGAGGUAGAGCCCUGCAGCCAAAGCGCCCCGAAGGCUGGUGCGGGUGGUGGGUCACGUCCCCACACUCCGACAGCCCCUCCAGAGCCUGAGAGGGUCUGCACAGUGGCCAGCUCUGCUGGAGAGGUGGGUGCUGAGCUCUGCCCAGGUUCCCAGGGAUGGCAGCAUCUGCCCAGUGGUGCCGGAGAAGCCGAGACAGAAGAUGUCCAAGAUGGGCUUCUCGGUGGCCUUUGGCCAUCCAAAAACUCACAGGUCCUGCUGGAAGCUACUGUGGAGCCCGAUGCACAGCCCAGCUCUGAUGUCUGCACCCCACCAGAGACCCCACCAGGCACCCAGGACCCUUCUGGGUCCAGUGAGGCUGAGGCUGUGGGCACCCAGCACCAGCUCUGCUCCACGCUCCCGGCAUCCUCCCCGGCUGGUACAGACCUCCGCUCCGCCGCCGUCCUCGCCAGGAAGGAGGAGAUCGAGCUGUCCUACCAGCAGUUCAGCCUGACCAUCGCGGUGGUGGCCACGAUGCUGCUGCAGAAGGAGCCCUCCAUGGAGGCGGCGCUGGGGCUGGCGCUGAGAGCCAACCUCCGCCAGGGCCGGAUCCACCACCUCCAGGAGCUGGAGGACUUCAUCAACAGCUACGACUCGGCCACCCUCAGCCACUGAGGGGGCUCUGGGGUGAGUGGACAGACACCCCCUCUUGCCAGCCAGGGUUUGGGGGGGUGAUGGGGGGGCCGUGCUGGUACAUUGGGGCGCUCAUGAUGGUGCUGAGCCCCCAGAUCAAGGUGCUAUGGACAUGUUGGUGCAGUCCCACCACCUCUUUUGGAGAUGGAGGAGGAGGGGGUGCUUAGCUUUACCCCUGCCUAGCUCUGUAUGUGCAGCAAAAGGGGGGAGCUGGUUUUACUGGAGGGAGAGCGGCUGCAGGGACCCCCCCCCCCCCCUGCCCUGGCCCCUCACUCCAUUCCUGCUUCACAUGGAUGUGCUCCCAAAACCCCAGAGAUUGUUCUUGGAUUUAAAUCAAAAAAUAAAGCAGUCAUGAUCUUUGCA
rnacentral:lncRNA from 1 species